rnacentral:tRNA from 1 species
GCCCAUUUGGCUCAGUGGAGAGUGUUGGCCUGUGGACUCAAGGGUCCCAGGUUCGAUUCUGGUCAAGGGCA